GAUGAACGCUGGCGGCGUGCUUAACACAUGCAAGUCGAACGGUGAACACGGAGCUUGCUCUGUGGGAUCAGUGGCGAACGGGUGAGUAACACGUGAGCAACCUGCCCCGGACGCUGGGAUAAGCGCUGGAAACGGCGUCUAAUACUGGAUAUGUGACGGGACCGCAUGGUCUGCGUUUGGAAAGAUUAUUCGGUUGGGGAUGGGCUCGCGGCCUAUCAGCUUGUUGGUGAGGUAAUGGCUCACCAAGGCGUCGACGGGUAGCCGGCCUGAGAGGGUGACCGGCCACACUGGGACUGAGACACGGACCAGACUCCUACGGGAGGCAGCAGUGGGGAAUAUUGCACAAUGGGCGCAAGCCUGAUGCAGCAACGCCGCGUGAGGGAUGACGGCCUUCGGGUUGUAAACCUCUUUUAGCAGGGAAGCAGCGAAAGUGACGGUACCUGCAGAAAAAGCGCCGGCUAACUACGUG
rnacentral:rRNA from 1 species